AGGCCUGGUUACAGUUACAGUAGCUGUUGUAGGACCUUCGGCCAAGGAUAAUGGAAAGUAUUAAGAGUGGAAUGACUGGGCAGGCAGACACACACACACACAGACACACACAGACAGGCAGACACACACAGGCAGACAGACACACACAGGCAGACACACACAGGCACACAUACAGGCACACAUACAGGCACACACACACACACAGGCAGACACACACAGGCACACACACAGACAGACACACACACAGGCAGACACACAGGCAGACACACACAGACAGGCAGACACACAGACAGGCAGACACACACAGGCAGACAGACACACACAGGCAGACAGACACACACAGGCAGACACAGGCAGACACACACACACAGGCACACACACACACAGACACACACACACACACACAGGCAGACACACACAGACAAAGACACACACAGGCAGACACACACAGACAAAGACACACACAGGCAAAGACACACACAGGCAGACACACACAGGCAGACACACACAGGCAGACAUACACAGGCAGACAUACACAGGCAGACAUACACAGGCAGACAUACACAGGCAGACACACACAGGCAGACACACAGGCAGACACACAGGCAGACACACACAGACAGACACACAGGCACACACAGACAGACACACAGGCACACACACACAGGCAGACACACACAGGCACACACAGACAGACAGACACACACAGGCAGACACACACACACAGGCAGACACACACAGGCAGACACACACAGACAGACACACACAGACAGACACACACAGACAGACACACACAGACAGACACACACAGACAGACACACAGACACAGACAGGCAGACACACACAGACAGACACACACAGGCAGACAGACACACACAGGCAGGCAGACACACACAGGAAGGCAGACACACACAGGAAGGCAGACACACACAGGAAGGCAGACACACACAGGAAGGCAGACACACACAGGAAGGCAGACACACACAGGAAGGCAGACACACACAGGAAGGCAGACACACACAGGAAGACAGACACACACAGGCAGGCAGACACACACAGGCAGGCAGGCAGACACACACAGGCAGGCAGGCAGACACACACAGGCAGACACAGGCAGGCAGACACACACACAGGCAGGCAGACACACACACAGGCAGACAGACACACACACAGGCAGGCAGACACACACACACACACAGGCAGACAGACACACACACAGACAGGCAGACACACACACACAGGCAGGCAGACACACACACACAGGCAGGCAGACACACACACACAGGCAGGCAGACACACACAGGCAGGCAGACACACACACAGGCAGGCAGACACACACACAGGCAGGCAGACACACACACAGGCAGGCAGACACACACACAGGCAGGCAGACACACACACAGGCAGGCAGACACACACACACACAGGCAGGCAGACACACACACAGGCAGGCAGACAAGCAGGCAGGCAGGCAGACAAGCAGGCAGGCAGGCAGACAAGCAGGCAGGCAGGCAGACAAGCAGGCAGGCAGACAAGCAGGCAGGCAGGCACACGGAGGCAGGCAGACACAUGCAGGCAGGCAGACACACGCAGACUCCACCUUCAGUGCACCCUCUCCCAUUUGUUCAUCAGCAAAAAAACUUCAACAACAAACUCCCUUUGGAACAGCGAAGUCACGCAGUAGAGUAGUACAUAAACUAC
ensembl:lncRNA